rnacentral:rRNA from 1 species
CAUGCAGGCGGAUCGAUAAGUCGGGGGUGAAAGCCCGAGGCUCAACCUCGGAACUGCCUUUGAUACUGUCGAUCUUGAGUCCGGGAGAGGUGAGUGGAACUCCGAGUGUAGAGGUGAAAUUCGUAGAUAUUCGGAAGAACACCAGUGGCGAAGGCGGCUCACUGGCCCGGUACUGACGCUGAGAUGCGAAAGCGUGGGGAGCAAACAGGAUUAGAUACCCUGGUAGUCCACGCCGUAAACGAUGGAUGCUAGCCGUCAGCCAGCAUGCUGGUUGGUGGCGCAGCUAACGCAUUAAGCAUCCCGCCUGGGGAGUACGAUCGCAAGAUUAAA